GACGAACGUUGGCGGCGUGCUUAACACAUGCAAGUCGAACGGAAAGGCCUCUUUCGGGGGGUACUCGAGUGGCGAACGGGUGAGUAACACGUGAGUAACCUGCCCUUGACUUUGGGAUAACUUCAGGAAACUGGGGCUAAUACCGGAUAGGAGCUCCUGCUGCAUGGUGGGGGUUGGAAAGUUUCGGCGGUUGGGGAUGGACUCGCGGCUUAUCAGCUUGUUGGUGGGGUAGUGGCUUACCAAGGCUUUGACGGGUAGCCGGCCUGAGAGGGUGACCGGCCACAUUGGGACUGAGAUACGGCCCAGACUCCUACGGGGGGCAGCAGUGGGGAAUAUUGCACAAUGGGUGGAAGCCUGAUGCAGCAACGCCGUGUGCGGGAUGACGGCCUUCGGGUUGUAAACCGCUUUCGCUCAUGACGAAGCUUUGCGUGACGGUAGUGGGUAAAGAAGCACCGGCUAACUACGUG
rnacentral:rRNA from 1 species